rnacentral:sRNA from 1 species
GGUUACCUCCCCUUACUUGGAUACACAUCACUCUUUGGCGCUAUUUUUGAAUUAUUAUUUUUCAAUUUUCGGUAAAAAAUAAAAAUAUUCAGACGUGUAAGGUGAUAAAUUGUAUUAUAUAUUCGUUAUUCUAUCGUUAAUUCACAAACUAGUUUUAAUUUAAAGCGGAGAUAUAUGGAAAUUAUUGAUUUCAAAUUUGAGGGCAAUACACCCCCUUGACGACGGGCUGAGACAGAGAAAUAUCAGCCCCGAGGGCGAUACAGCCCUAGCUUCCGGUUGCUGUCUCACCUAGUCCAAAACACGUGUAUCAGGGCUGAUACACUACUAGGUAUAUGAUAUAAUACAAUGAUGUUAGCUAUGCCAAUUAUAUGAUAGAAUACAAUGAUGAUAGCUAUGUCAAUCAUAUGAUAGAAUACAAUGAUGAUAGCUAUGUCAAUCGUAUGAUACAAUACAAUGAUGUUAGCUAUGCCAAUCAUAUGUUGAAUCCGAUAAUGUUAGCUAUGCCAAUUAUAUGAUAGAAUACAAUGAUGAUAGCUAUGUCAAUUGUAUGAUAGAAUACAAUGAUGAUAGCUAUGUCAAUUGUAUGAUAGAAUACAAUGAUGUUAGCUAUGCCAAUCAUAUGUAAGAAUACAAUGAUGUUAGCUAUGCCAAUCAUAUGAUAGAGUACAAUAAUGUUGGCUAUGCCAAUCAUAUGUAAGAAUACAAUCAUGUUAGCUAUGCCAAUCAUAUGUUGAAUCCGAUAAUGUUAGCUAUGCCAAUUACCAGGGGUAUAUGAAAGAAUACAAUGAUGUUAGCUAUGCCAAUCAUAUGUAAGAAGACAAUGAUGUUAGCUAUGCCAAUCAUAUCAUAGAAUACAAUGAUGUUAGCUUUGCCAAUCAUAUGUAAGAAUACAAUGAUGUUAGCUAUGCCAAUCAUAUGUAAGAAUACAAUGAUGUUAGCUAUGCCAAUCAUAUGUUGAAUCCAAUGAUGUUAGCUAUGCCAAUCAUAUGUUAAAUACAAUGAUGUUAGUUAUGCCAAUCAAAUGAUAGAAUACAAUAGAUGUUAGCUAUGCCAAUUAUAUGGUAGAAUACUAUAAUGUUAGCUAUGCCAAUCAUAUGUUGUCACACAACAUUGUUAUUAAGACACAGGAUAUAAACUACCUCAGCCUGUAAUUGUGAGAAACAAUCCUUUUCUUUGGUACCUGUAUAUUGAUUAUAUCCACUGUUUCAAUGACAUCAUCUUUUGGGGGACCAUUGCAUAUACAAUGUAUUUUAAUAAAUGUACUACAGUUUUU